ACUCCUACGGGAGGCAGCAGUGGGAAUAUUGCACAAUGGGCGCAAGCCUGAUGCAGCCAUGCCGCGUGUGUGAAGAAGGCCUUCGGGUUGUAAAGCACUUUCAGUCGUGAGGAAGGUGUGUGUUAAUUAGCUGCAUUAUUUUGACGUUAGCGACAGAAGAAGCACCGGCUAACUCCGUGCCAGCAGCCGCGGUAAUACGGAGGGUGCGAGCGUUAAUCGGAAUUACUGGGCGUAAAGCGCAUGCAGGUGGUUUGUUAAGUCAGAUGUGAAAGCCCGGGGCUCAACCUCGGAAU
rnacentral:rRNA from 1 species